rnacentral:lncRNA from 1 species
GCCAAGAGUCUGUGCUGUCAUGGAGGUCCUCAGCCUCUCUUUAGGCAUCCUCAACAGAAUGGGAAGAGUCCAAAGUCCUUUCAACUAGUGGAGAUGGUGCCCCCUGCUGGUAAGCCGACCUAACCUCACCACAAUGAAGGUUGCCCUGUUGUCUCUACAGCAGACUGUCAGGUCUCCCUUUCCUGUACCCUUGCCGAUUUAGCUAUCAAACCUCAUUUUAGGGUCUGCUUUCUGAGACCACGUCUGGUAGAAACUUCUGGAAAGUGGGCUUUAGUUCAACCAAUUUUUUGAACACAGGCUGCCUGGAGCAGUGGAACUGAGAAAGAGGACAAUGGCCAGGUCUUCCCAGAGAGGAGAGACGCCAGAGGUCCACACUUCCUGGCAGCCACGGGAGCAAGGGCUGUGAUCUGAAAGAGCAUCUGGUGACAUCUACAGCAUCUGCCAGGCCACUGUUCGAGCCCCUCACCCAUCUAGUCAGCUGACAUGUCUCGGGUAUCCUGAGGAGACAUCCAGGGUCCCAGCUGCUUCGUGGGAGCUUGCAUUCCGGACAGAUGAGACAGUACAGGUCAGGACACAGCCACGGCAGCUACUUGAGCAUCUGGUCAAAGCUGUCUAAGUGGGGCCACGAGGUCAGCAGGAAUGAAUGACAGGCUUAUGGGCAUGGAGGGUAUAGGUAUCCAGGCAAGAGAACUCCCGGUGGGCUUGGUUGAGGAGAAUGUGUAGAGUACUUGGAAGCCAGGAAGACUAUGAGCUCCCGUGGUGUCUGAGGCGCCUCAGGUCUUGGCAUUGGCCUGGGUCCAUCUUCUGAUCCUUGCCUGCCAAGAUUUCUCACUCCAGCAGAAAUCUUCAAGGUCACAGUGUCCUGAUGGACCUGUAUGCCUUGUCCUCGAUAAUUAUUUGGGAGGGCAAAUAGUUGCUUAGUUAAGCUGACUUUGUACACUGGUCGACUAGACUUUUCUGGUAAGUGUUGGCCUAGGACUUUA